rnacentral:rRNA from 1 species
GACGUAGGGUGCGAGCGUUGUCCGGAAUUAUUGGGCGUAAAGAGCUCGUAGGCGGUUUGUCGCGUCUGCCGUGAAAGUCCGGGGCUCAACUCCGGAUCUGCGGUGGGUACGGGCAGACUAGAGUGAUGUAGGGGAGACUGGAAUUCCUGGUGUAGCGGUGAAAUGCGCAGAUAUCAGGAGGAACACCGAUGGCGAAGGCAGGUCUCUGGGCAUUAACUGACGCUGAGGAGCGAAAGCAUGGGGAGCGAACAGG